rnacentral:misc_RNA from 1 species
GAUGAAGAACGCAGCGAAAUGCGAUAAGUAAUGUGAAUUGCAGAAUUCAGUGAAUCAUCGAAUCUUUGAACGCACAUUGCGCCCGCCAGUAUUCUGGCGGGCAUGCCUGUUCGAGCGUCAUUACAACCCUCAGGCCCCCGGGCCUGGCGUUGGGGAUCGGCGGAGCCCCCCGUGGGCACACGCCGUCCCCCAAAUGCAGUGGCGGUCCCGCCGCAGCUUCCAUCGCGUAGUAGCUAACACCUCGCGACUGGAGAGCGGCGCGGCCACGCCGUAAAACACCCAACUCUUCUGAAGUUGACCUCGAAUCAGGUAGGAACACCCGCUGAACUUAAGCAUAUCAAUAAGCGGAGGA